rnacentral:rRNA from 1 species
CAAUAAGCGGAGGAAAAGAAACCAACAGGGAUUGCCUCAGUAACGGCGAGUGAAGCGGCAACAGCUCAAAUUUGAAAUCUGGCCUCACGGUCCGAGUUGUAAUUUGUAGAGGAUGCUUCGAGCGUGGUCUGGUCUAAGUUCCUUGGAACAGGACGUCAUAGAGGGUGAGAGUCCCGUAUGCGACUAGGUGCCUAAGCUCAUGUGAAGCUCCUUCGACGAGUCGAGUUGUUUGGGAAUGCAGCUCAAAAUGGGUGGUAAAUUUCAUCUAAAGCUAAAUAUUGGCCAGAGACCGAUAGCGCACAAGUAGAGUGAUCGAAAGAUGAAAAGCACUUUGGAAAGAGAGUUAAACAGUACGUGAAAUUGUUGAAAGGGAAGCGCUUGCAACUAGACUUGCAUGCAGUUGAUCAUCUGGUGUUCUCACUAGUGCACUCGAUUGUAUUCAGGCCAGCAUUGGUUUCAGUGGUUGGAUAAAGACCUUGGGAAUGUAGCUCCCUUCGGGGAGUGUUAUAGCCCUUGGUGCAAUGCAGCCUACUGGGACCGAGGACCGCGCUUCGGCUAGGAUGCUGGCGUAAUAGUUGUAAGCGACCC